AGUGAACGCUGGCGGUAGGCCUAACACAUGCAAGUCGAACGGCAGCACAGGAGAGCUUGCUCUCUGGGUGGCGAGUGGCGGACGGGUGAGGAAUACAUCGGAAUCUACUCUGUCGUGGGGGAUAACGUAGGGAAACUUACGCUAAUACCGCAUACGACCUACGGGUGAAAGCAGGGGACCUUCGGGCCUUGCGCGAUUGAAUGAGCCGAUGUCGGAUGAGCUAGUUGGCGGGGUAAAGGCCCACCAAGGCGACGAUCCGGAGCUGGUCUGAGAGGAUGAUCAGCCACACUGGAACUGAGACACGGUCCAGACUCCGACGGGAGGCAGUAGUGAGGAAUAUUGGACAAUGGGCGCAAGCCUGAUCCAGCCAUACCGCGUGGGUGAAGAAGGCCUUCGGGUUGUAAAGCCCUUUUGUUGGGAAAGAAAUCCAGCUGGCUAAUACCCGGUUGGGAUGACGGUACCCAAAGAAUAAGCACCGGCUAACUUCGUGCCAGCCGCCGCCGUAA
rnacentral:rRNA from 1 species